CCGAAUCCACGCCAGCGCGCCUCUACAAGUUUGAUAUCUCUACACGAACCAUUCAUCGUACCCAUUGUCGGCAGAUAUGACACGAACUGUCAUAGCGGUGAGUUGGCAGAUGUAUAGACAGAUGUAAUGAUAGGAGGAAGAGAAAGUGCAUCUAUGUGCAACCAGGUGUUGAAUUCUAGAUUAUUGAUAAUGCACUAAUUUUGGAACAAUUUGAACUAGAAUAUUUGUGAACUAGUGUGUAUACCAGAAGGUAUUUUGUAAUGCUUAUAUUGAAGUGAAUUGUUAUCUAACAUGCUCUGAAAUUUAACAGGAAUUCGUAGUCCUUAAUAUCUCCGUACGCUUAACCUAAAUUACUAGUGAACACUUACAAGCUAAAGGGUAAAUAACUAAAUCAACGAAAUACUUAAUGACAUGCAAUUAUCUAAAUCUAGCCUAAUUAUAGUACGGAUUGUAAGUACGAAUCGAUAGUACGGAUUGAACGAACAAAAUCGCUCGCUCACACAUAAACAGCAAGCGAUUUGCAGCAGGCAACAACGUUAGACCGGCUCAAGAAGACAGACAGAUAUACUGGACUUGGCAUAGCAAGGAGACUAAACGUAAGUUAGACGUAUAGACUAAGGAUUAUCUGUGACUAUCUAAUGUUGGUUCUGAUGAGUGACAAUAACUAAGACAAACAUCAUGCAUUUCAGGAAAAUAAUAAUCCCCCUACCAGUAAUCAUAAACGACUGUCUUUUACUUCGGGAUUAUUAUUUCGGAAAAUUUUUCUCUGUUGGCAAUUUUCCAACAAAUUAUUAUUUUCGUUUAUACGAAGUCGCAAAAUAGCCGGUCAUGUCGCGUCGAACUCUACGGUCGGGUAAGGUGGUUGGUGAGACUGCUAGUGAAAAUCUUAGUGCAAAUGGUGGCGUGCAAGUGGUGGUCACGGCUGAUCCGGAAGAGUCGCAUCCCGGACAAACAUGCCAAGUGUGCCGUGUGCUGGAUACAGUUGAUAUGGUGCAGUGCGACGUGUGUUCCAAGUGGCAUCACUUCCGGUGCGUAGGAGUCACGCAGCAAAUAGAACAUUUUCCAUGGAGUUGUGCCAAAUGCGAAUCAGCGAAAGGAGUUCAGGAAAUCGGUUCUACUGCAGCUCUUCUUCAAGGAAGCGGUGGUCCAUUAGGACAGUCGUUCAAAUCUCACGCGAACAGACUGUCAGUGCAGUCAGAUCAGCUCCAACAUCAACAACGAGCCCAGCAACAGCAUCAGCAGAGUCCCGAUGUAGCAGCUUGUCAGCUAGCCUUCUCGCGUGCAGCGGAUGAGUCAAACCAACCCAAGGGAGAAGAUCAAGCUCCGUUCGUCUCUUCGCUUCAGUGGGUUGUGUCCCCUUCGCAACACAGAUCCAAAGCCUCAUCGGAGUCUUCGAGUCGGUCAUCACAAGCCCUCGCUAGGCUAAAACUUCAAAUGCUGGAAGAGAUUAGGGACGUCGAGCGGCGUGAAGCAGAGCGCCAACGAGCAAUCGCAGCGGAGGAAGCAAACAAGGAAAAGGCAUUCCUGGAGCAGAAGUAUCAUCUAUUGGAGCAGGCCAUGAGCGAAAACGGCUCCUCUAAAAGCGAUUCUAUGACCAGAACGCAGAACUGGAUCGCAGCUACAAAUACGCAUCGCAAUAGGCAGAUAGUAGCUCAAAACGACAUCCAAACCAACUCGAACGUGCGAGCUGGUGAGAUGCAAGUUUGGAAUCCACCAGCUACGCGGAUUAGUAGGUGUCGUUCGUCGCUAUCAGAACCAAAUCCUCCGGAUCCAUUUCCAGCGCCGGAGUCCAUGCUGAGUUGCCCCGUAGAUCCACCAGCGCUGAACGUCGGAAUGCAGCGGUUAGCUAUAGGGUCGCAGAAUCAAAUCCCCCCGCCGAUGCAGUCGCGACCGAUUCCACCGCCUUCGCGUCGGGUUUCUAUGGCACAGUUACCUUAUUCUGGUGACCGUGGAGCAGCUGCACCGGACCAUUCCAAAAACAUGGAAGCAGAUCCAUCACGACGGUUCUCACAUAACAUGUCGGUUCCGGAGUACCAGAGGUUCGCCCCUCACUCGAGUCAAUCAGCAGUCCAUCAGCAGCACCAUCCUCAGUCAUCUACCAUGCGUGAAAACCGCCUCUACGAACAAGAGGAGGAAGAAUCUGACCCAUACCCAAUAACUCGAAGGCAGCUGGCUGCCCGACAAGCCAUCUCGAAGGAUCUUCCAACGUUUUCUGGAGAUCCAGAAGAUUGGCCUAUGUUUCUAGCCACCUUCAACAGUACCACCGCCCUCUGUGGUUUUACCAAUGAUGAAAACAUCGCCCGCUUGCAGCGAAGCUUGAAAGGUCGAGCAUAUGAAGCGGUCAAAAGUCGGCUACUGCAUCCAUCCAACGUCAUUGGAAUAAUGUCAACCCUCAAGAUGCUGUUCGGGCAACCGGAAGUAAUAAUUCAUUCAAUGAUGGCAAAGAUCAACUCCUUUCCGGCACUGAAAGAGGACAAAUUAGAGAUGAUUGUGGACUUCGCCGUCAGUGUUCAAAACUUCUGUGCAACCGUGGACGCGUGUGGAUUGGAAGAAUAUUUCUACAACAUGACCUUCCUCCACCAACUCGUGAACAAAUUGCCACCAUCGAUCAAGCUGAAUUGGGCGCAGUACCGAUUAUCGCUACCGACGGUCAACUUGUCGUCUUUCAGCAGCUGGCUCUACUCUCUAGCUGAAGCUGCUAGUGCCGUUACCAUCCCGAACACCAUUUUCGAGUUUCAUCCCGCACGUAACGACUCGCGUGCGGCCAAGAAGACCAACUCAUUCGUAAACGCUCAUUCCGAGGAAGCCUCGUCAGGUCAGCACUCCGCAGCACCUUCAAGCUCGAAAGAAGGAAGCUGCUUAAUAUGCAAAGGAAGCUGCAAUGCGAUCACCAAAUGUGAUCGUUUCCUGGGAUUCUCUCGCGAUUCUCGCUGGGCGACUGUACGGGAUCUAGGCCUCUGCCGCCGAUGUCUACGCCAACAUAAGGGAGGAUGCCAAGCAAAACUUUGUGGGAAGAAUGGCUGUGAGUUGAAGCAUCACGAGUUGCUGCACAAUGAUCAGAGGAGCGCACCGCUACCGUCAAACGCUUUUCCAUGUGUUUCGAGCAAACCAUCGUCGAUUCAGCGUACAGAAACCACGUCAGACACAGUGCCAAAUUCUACUGAGCACGGGUGCCAUGUUCACCAGGUCACUUCCAGUCAUGUGUUGUUCCGCUAUAUACCCGUAGUGCUCCACGGAAAGCACCAAUCAAUCGAGACAUUCGCCUUUCUGGAUGACGGAUCCGAGCUCACUUUGCUUGACGAGGAACUUGCGGAUGCACUGCAACUGGAGGGCGAAGAAACACCAUUAUGCUUGUUGUGGACUGGAGGAGCGAAGCGACGAGAAGCUGAUUCAAAAAGCGUUCAGCUGGAGGUCGCUGCAAGGCACAACAGUUCCAAAAAGUACACCAUGCAUGGGGUACGCACAGUUGCUCAACUACUUCUUCCAUCACAGACACUCAACUUCGAAGAGAUGUCUGAGUUAUAUCCGCAUCUUAAGGGCCUGCCGAUUUGUUCAUAUCAAGAUGUUCGGCCACGUAUACUCAUCGGGAUGAAGGAUCAGCACCUCAGCCUUGUUCAGAAGAGCCGUGAGGGAGCGAUACACGAGCCGAUCGCUGUAAAAACUCGACUAGGAUGGACGGUUUGUGGAGAAGGAAAUCGCGACACCGGUGCCAACCUUGACCACUCGGUAUUUCAUAUCUGUGAAUGCAACUCUGUUGCGGACGCAAGCCUGCAUCAACUGAUGAAAGAAUACUUCGCGAUAGACAGUGUAGGAAUUGCUCAUCCGAAGAACCAACUUCUCUCGAUCGAAGAAGAGCAAGCGCAGAGUCUGCUCGAGACACGCACAGUGCUGAAGGGAAACCGCUACGAAACUGGACUAUUGUGGCGAUACGAUAAUGUUCGAUUGCCGGACAGUUUUCCGAUGGCCUAUCGACGACUCCAGUGUCUCAAAAAGAGAAUGGACAAAGACCCUCAACUAGAGGUAGCACUAAACAAAAAGAUCACCGACUUUGUCGAAAGCGGAUAUGCCAGGAAACUCACCGAUGACGAACUCUCCCAAAGUUUCCCUCGUAAAUGGUACUUGCCGGUAUUUCCCGUGACAAAUGUCAACAAGCCAGGGAAGAUUCGAAUGGUGUGGGACGCUGCAGCGGUCGCCCACGGAGUGUCUUUAAAUUCCGUGCUACUUAAAGGACCUGAUCAACUAUGCGAGCUCUUCACUAUAUUGGUUCAAUUCCGAGAGGGACAGGUUGCCUUAACUGGAGACGUGCGUGAAAUGUUUCUGCAAGUACUAAUGCGCCAGGAAGACCAGCAAUGUCAGCGGUUCCUCUGGUAUGACAAAGAUGGGACACUCUCUGUCUACGUGAUGCAGGUUAUGACAUUCGGAGCAUGCUGCUCCCCUAGUAGCGCUCAAUAUGUUAAAAACCUGAACGCCGAGCGAUUCAGAGCAGAUUAUCCAGAGGCAGUCGAAGUGAUCCACAAGCGCCACUACGUUGAUGACAUGUUGGUGAGUGUGGCAACAGAAGAAGAAGCGAUCAAACUCGCACAGCAAGUGAGGAAGGUACAUGCAGAAGGCGGAUUUGAAAUCCGUAAUUGGAUCAGCAACUCCAAACGCGUCACCGGUGCCUUAGAGGAAAAUCACGCAGAACAAAAGAACCUUGACCUGUCGCCAGAACUAGCCACAGAGAAGGUGCUCGGUAUGUGGUGGUGUACCGAUUCAGAUACCUUUACAUACAAGGUUGGUUGGAAUCGUUAUGGUCGAGCACUGCUAGAAGGCCAGCAUCGUCCAACUAAACGACAGAUGCUACGUGUCCUCAUGUCGGUAUUCGAUCCGCUUGGGCUAAUUGCUCAGUUUCUGAUGUAUUUGAAGGUCCUACUCCAAGACGUGUGGCGCUCCGGCAUCGGCUGGGAUGAUCAAGUUGACGAAAUACUAUUUGAACGGUGGCAAACUUGGCUCCAAAUUCUUCCGCAAAUUGAACAAACCAGUAUUCCUCGUUGCUACUCUAGUGAACGAUAUGCCAACUGUGGAGACGUGCAGCUGCACACCUUCGUGGAUGCUAGUGAGAAUGGUAUCGCGGCUGCCUGCUACCUGCGCUUCAACCAUGAUAACGCCGUGGAAUGCAGUAUAGUCGCCGCAAAAACCCGAGUCGCGCCGUUGAAGUUUUUAUCCAUACCCCGACUAGAACUUCAAGCAGCUUUGAUUGGAGCCCGUCUCGCUCGAACAGUCUCCGACGCCCUCACUGUUGAAAUUUCCCGCCGGGAAUUUUGGUCCGACUCCCAAGAUGUCCUGUGUUGGAUAAAAUCUGAUCACCGCCGCUACUCGUCAUUUGUAGCAUUUCGGAUUAGUGAGAUCCUAGAGUUGACGGAGAUUGCUGAUUGGAGGUACGUUCCCACUGACUUGAACGUUGCGGAUGAUGGAACGAAAUGGAAAGUACUUCCAGAUCUUAAGCCUGGAGCAAGAUGGUUCAACGGUCCACAAUUUCUUUACCUCCCAGAAGAUCAGUGGCCUCGCACUUUGAAAAAAUCAAACACUACCAACUUGGAACUCCGUCCCAGUGUAAUGGUGCACUGCAUCGCACCCGAAUCCAUAGUACGAGUAAUCGAUUUUUCGAGUUGGAGUCGACUAGUUCGAGUAAUUGCAUUUGUUUACCGAUUCUUCAACAACUGCAGGCGCAAACAUCUGGAAGAAUGUAUCAGCGGUCCUCUUUCCAGCCAAGAAAUGAAUUACGCUGAAACAUACCUGCUACGCCAGACGCAGCUGGAAGCCUAUCCAGAUGAAGUCGCUCUUCUCCAACUAUCGCAAACUGAACCGAAGCUAUCCAGAACACCAUUGCCUAAGACCAGCCCACUACACCAAAAAUCACCGUGGCUGGACCAGAAUGGAAUUCUGCGGAUGCGAGGCCGCAUCGCCAGCUGCGACUAUGCUACCGAAGACGCUAAACAUCCUGUUAUCCUUCCCCGUGACCACCCUACCACCAAAUUGAUCAUAGCACAUUUCCACCAAAAAUUCCACCACCAAAACCAUGAGACCGUAAUCAACGAAAUUCGACAAAAGUACAGUGUUCCGAAGCUUCGGACUGCUUUCGCCAAUGUUCGAAAGAGCUGCCAACGCUGCAAGAAUCACCGUGCCAAUCCAAGAGUUCCAAUAAUGGCCGAUCUACCAGCAGCCCGACUUGAUGCUUUCGCGCGCCCCUUUACUCACGUUGGGAUAGAUUUCUUCGGACCAUACGAGAUCGUCAUUGGCCGUAGGGCAGAAAAGCGUUGGGGUAUGCUGGCUACCUGCCUCACGACCCGUGCAAUCCACAUUGAAGUCGCCCACUCUCUCAGCACUGAUUCGUGUGUUAUGGCACUGCGAAACCUUAUUUCGAGAAGAGGGAAACCAAGAACUAUCCAUAGCGAUCGAGGGACGAAUUUCGUUGGAGCGAACCGAGAGUUGACCGAAGCGAAGUACUCCGUCGACCAAGCAGAACUCAUGAAAGAAUUCGUGGACGCAGACACCAGCUGGCAUUUUCUUCCCCCUUCGUCACCACACAUGGGUGGCAGUUGGGAACGCCUAAUCGGCAGCGUCAAGAGAAACCUUAUGGCAAUUUUACCAACGAGAAGAUUGUCAGAUGAAGUUCUACGAAACAUGCUCACCGAAGUAGAGAACACCGUCAACUCCCGACCAUUGACCCACGUUCCCGUAGAUGAUGAGUCCGCUCCUGCCCUAACGCCCAACCACUUUUUGAUUGGGUCAUCUAAUGGAGUGAAACCGCUCUGCACUAUCGAUGACAGUGGCGAAGCAUUACGACAGUGCUGGCGGCUAUCUCAAGUCCAGGCCAAUCGGUUUUGGAAGCGAUGGAUCAACGAUUAUCUCCCUGAAAUAACUCGCCGCACAAAGUGGUUCACCGAUACCAAACCAAUACAGGACAAUGACGUGGUAGUGAUUGUGGACUCUAAACUACCCCGGAACUGUUGGCCAAAGGGUCGAAUAAUCUGUACACAUCCUGGACGAGAUGGACAACCCAGAUCUGCGACAGUGCGGACAUCGACUGGUAUUUAUGAACGUCCGGUAGCCAAAUUAGCCGUGCUAGACGUUCGGCGCGUGACGAAGUAAGCUGACCAAGAGGCCAUCGUACCUGGGGGGACUGUUGCCGAAUCCACGCCAGCGCGCCUCUACAAGUUUGAUAUCUCUACACGAACCAUUCAUCGUACCCAUUGUCGGCAGAUAUGACACGAACUGUCAUAGCGGUGAGUUGGCAGAUGUAUAGACAGAUGUAAUGAUAGGAGGAAGAGAAAGUGCAUCUAUGUGCAACCAGGUGUUGAAUUCUAGAUUAUUGAUAAUGCACUAAUUUUGGAACAAUUUGAACUAGAAUAUUUGUGAACUAGUGUGUAUACCAGAAGGUAUUUUGUAAUGCUUAUAUUGAAGUGAAUUGUUAUCUAACAUGCUCUGAAAUUUAACAGGAAUUCGUAGUCCUUAAUAUCUCCGUACGCUUAACCUAAAUUACUAGUGAACACUUACAAGCUAAAGGUACGGAUUGUAAGUACGAAUCGAUAGUACGGAUUGAACGAACAAAAUCGCUCGCUCACACAUAAACAGCAAGCGAUUUGCAGCAGGCAACAACGUUAGACCGGCUCAAGAAGACAGACAGAUAUACUGGACUUGGCAUAGCAAGGAGACUAAACGUAAGUUAGACGUAUAGACUAAGGAUUAUCUGUGACUAUCUAAUGUUGGUUCUGAUGAGUGACAAUAACUAAGACAAACAUCAUGCAUUUCAGGAAAAUAAUAAUCCCCCUACCAGUAAUCAUAAACGACUGUCUUUUACUUCGGGAUUAUUAUUUCGGAAAAUUUUUCUCUGUUGGCAAUUUUCCAACACGCUCCAUAUAUUGCGCAAAACUAGACCCUCGAACAAAAUGGUCGACAGUACCGAUCAAAGAAGACAUGAUGGCUUAGGAAAUGACAAACAAUAGAAACUGAAACAAUAGGAAAUAUAAUGAACAAUAGAACGACUUACGUGACCUUUUCCUUACGGUGCUGAUCCAGUACUUCCGAUAUGGUGCUCUGCUGAUGUUGAAUCUGCUCCAGGCGUAACUUCAAAAACCGGUGCUAACCCUUUCUUGAUCUAACACACCCGAUUGCUCACUGUUCUCUUUCACUGGUGCUUACUGUCACACAAUUGGCUUUUACACGCUCUUCUAUUGUUUCCUCUUUGCUCACGAACACAUGCAAUUGUUACUCACUAUCCGCUACAAAUUUUCUUCGCGUUGCACUAUAUAGUUAAAACCACCGUUAUUAUAAUGCUAUUGCUGGCCCGGUUAUUGCUGCUGCCUCACAAUGUCGCUUCUUAAAUAUCAGUUUAUUUCGCCCUCACACGUGUUUUAUAAACUGCCGAUUUUCUUUUCAAAGUCCUGUUUUUAUUUGUUCGCACUGAUUCGAUGAAAAGAACUGAUUCCAACACCUCUUCAAACAAUUAAUCGCUGCGUACAAAAUUAACAGUGAAUAAUUGUUCAUGGGACACAAGCCUCAGUUCUAUUGUUCACACACGGUCAAUUGUUCCGAAUAUUGCCGCUAUGAAAUUUAAACUACUCUAUACUGAGAAUACUAACAAAUCUCAGUUUUCCAAGUAGCACGAUUCACUUAAAAAAAAAAGUUUUUCCUCGUCGAAACUGAAAAAAUAUAACUUUAGGGUUUUCUUCGGAUAAAAGGGGUUCACCUAAAACACUUGUUCACUCCUUGACGACCUGAACUAAAAGAGGUCGAUUGCUUCUUUAUUGCCCAUCAUUACACUUCUGCUAUAAAUGGUUUAUUCAGAUUGCGCACUACUACACAGAACGUUAACAUCGAAUUAUGGCUACGAAAACGGGUGCCUCCCUUUAGCUAUACACAUCAGUUUGUU